rnacentral:rRNA from 1 species
UUGUAAUCCAAAUUUUACCAAUUAAGAAGAAUAUUAUAAUAAUGGGUGUCUUAUAUUUUAAAUAAAUAUUUAAAUUCCGUGUAGUAAAUUUAUUAUUUGUAUUAUUUAUAUAAUAGGUGUAUUAUAUUUAAAUUUUAAAUUUGUUGUUUUAUAUUUAGAUACAUAUUUAUAGAUUAAUAUAUUUAAAUAAUAUUUUAAAAUUUAUUGAACUGUAAUUAUUAGUUUAAUAUUUUUAGUUUGAUGUUGAAAUAUUUAAUUAAAGAUGUUACAGUUGUUCUAUAUGUACCAAAUAAAUAUAGUAAGAUUAUUUUAGUUGAAUUAAUAAAUAAAUAUUUAUUUUUCUUUGUAAAUAUUAUGAACAAUUUAAAAAUUAAUCUGUUUAACUAAAAUGUUAUAUAUAAUAAUCUAAGUUAAUUUGAAUAUUAAAAGUACAAGUAUAAUUUGUAAUUCUAAAGUAUUUUAAUGGUAUAUUUUUAGUAGGUAAAUGAAAAGUAUAAAUGGAUAUAACUUAAUAUUUAAUAUUUGUUUAAUGAAAAGUAUUUUAUUAUUAUAUUGUAUAGUAUUAUUAUAGUGUAUAGUUUUUUAAAAAUAUAAAAAUAUUGUUAAUAAAAUUAUCGUAUUUUAAGUGCGUUUAUUAAAUGCGUUUGUCUAAGAUAAUUAUUUAAGAUUAUUCUUGUAAAUAUAUUUAAAUAUUAAUAAUUCUUAAAAUAAAAAAAUAUCCUCAAUUGCAAUAUUAUUGUAGCAUAGUAAUUUGUUAACUAAAUAUUAAAGUGUUCCAUAGAAAAUUUUUAAAUUACAACAAAUAAAAUAAAGUAUGAAUUAAUAUCAAAAUUUUAAUAAAAAUUAAAAAAUUAAAAUAGGGCAAGUCCUACUCUCCUUUACAAAGAGAACAUUAUGAUAUGUAAUUGUAUGUUUGAUUGGGGCAAUACUAUAUUUAUUUAUAUAGCAUAAGAACUAUAUUCUUUGAAAUUAUAAAAGGUUCGAGCAGGUUAACAAGCAUUAAAAAUAAAUGUGUUUCAUCGUCUACUUAUUACCAUGAUUGAUUGUUCAUCAAAAUAGUAAUUCGUUAGUUGGGUUAAAAUCGUUGUAAAGCAGAUUUGUUUAUAUAUUUAAUUUUUAUAAUUAAUAAUAAUUAAUAUAAGUACGCAAGGAUUGAUUAUUGAAAAAAGAAAGAAGAAUAUAAUUUAUAUAAAUUAUGGUCAAUUGUUAGUAUUCAUAUUAAUUUUUUUAAAUGUUUUAUCAUUUU